rnacentral:tRNA from 1 species
GGCCUGCUAGCUCUGUCGGUUAGAGCUUCGUGCUAAUAACGCGAAGGUCGUAGGUUCGAUCCCUGCGCAGGUCA